rfam:Candidatus Jorgensenbacteria bacterium GWA1_54_12 gwa1_scaffold_179, whole genome shotgun sequence.
AGAAAUGGGACAUGCGGUAAACGGUGGAUGCCUUGACAUCAUGCAGCGAAGAAGGGCGUGGCGUAGCUGCGAUAAGCCCCGGGUAGGUGUGUAGCAACCUGCGAUCCGGGGAUUCCCGAAUGGGGAAACCCGAUGCUGUGAACCAGCAUCGCGCUCCGCUUGACGGAGCGCGCAGACCCGGUGAAGUGAAACAUCUCAGUAACCGGAGGAAAAGAAAUCAAGUCAGAGAUUCCCUUAUUAGUGGCGAGCGAACGGGGAAGUGCCUAAACCCAUCUUUCGAGGUGGGGGUUGCAGGGCCGAGCGUGUGCCUUGCCGGAAACGAUAGCCGAAGACUCUGGAAAGAGUCACCACAGAAGGUGACAGUCCUGUAGGCGAAAUCGGAUUACGGCGGGGUGCUCGGUUCCUAAGUACUUCGAGAACAGAAAGUCUCGAGGGAAGCUGGGAGGACUACCUUCCAAGGCAAAAUAUGCAUGAUGAUCGAUAGUGAACAAGUACCGUGAGGGAAAGGUGAAAAGCAGCCCGGUGAGGGCGGUGAAAUAGUACCUGAAACCGUUUACCUACAAGCAGUUGGAGCCUCGCUUCGGCGGGGUGACAGCGUGCCUAUUGAAGAAUGAGCCAACGAGUUUAUCUAUACGGCUUGGUUAAGCCUUACGGGGUGGAGCCGAAGGGAAACCGAGUGUUAAUAGCGCGUUUGUCGUAUGGAUAAGACCCGAAGCCAGGCGAGCUUACCUUGGCCAGGGUGAGCUCCGACGAAAGUCGGAGGGAAGCCCGAACCGGUUGGCUGUGCAAAACCUUCGGAUGAGCUGAGGUAAGAAGUGAAAAGCUUAUCGAGCCUGGUAAUAGCUGGUUCUCUCCGAAACAACUUUCGGGUUGGCGUCGGUUAAUAGAUUUCUGGGGGUAGAGUUACUGGUUGGGAAAGACAGGGCGCAAGCUCGCUUUCCCAGUCAAACUCCGAAUACCGGAAAUUGUUUACCGGCAGUUAGACUGUGGGGGCUAAGCUCCAUGGUCGAGAGGGGAAGAGCCCAGAUCGCCGUCUAAGGUCCCCAAAUUACUGCUCAGUGUGAAAGGUUGUUGAUGUGCUGGAACAGAUAGGAGGUUGGCUCAGAAGCAGCCAUCCUUUAAAGAGUGCGUAACAGCUCACUAUUCGAGCGCAUCUGCGCCGAAGAUUUAUCGGGGCUAAGCAGUAUACCGAAGACGCGAAUACUUUGUGCUUCGCACAGAGACGCAGAUAUAUGCGGAUUAAGUUGAUUGAUGCAGAUAUGCUUAAAAACUAUCUGUAUGAGUCUGCCCUAUCGGCAUUAAUCGGCGUCUUUGCGCGAAGCAUGAGGUAUGGUAGGAGAGCAUUUCCAUUGCGGUGAAGUCUUGCCGUGAGACAAGGUGGAGCGAUGGGAAGAGAGAAUGUUGGCAUAAGUAAUCGCAUGUCCGGUGAAAAACCGGUCCCCCGCAAGUCCAAGGAUUCCUCCGCAACGUAAAUCGACGGAGGGUUAGGCGGUCCUAAGGCGAUGGUGAAAACCGCAGCUAAUGGACAGCAGGUUAAUAUUCCUGCCCGCCGUUUGUGAGAUGCCGAUGUGGUGACGAAGGAAAUAAACGUGAACGCCUUAUUGGUUUGGCGUUCUUUGCGACAAGAGGCGGUUUCUAGGCAAAUCCGGAAACCGGGUUUCAGUACCAGUCUCGGUCGCCGAGGAAAGAUUGCGUUCGCGCAGUCAAUUCGCGUGAAGAGCCUUCCGAGAAAAACCACUAAGGCGCGCUCAAACGGCUCCGUACCGUAAACCGCCACAGGUGGACGAGGCGAGUAGCCUCAGGGGAACGAGUGAGUCUUCGCUAAGGAACUAGGCAAAAAAGCGGCCGUAACUUCGGGAUAAGGCCUACCCGCAUAGCCCGCAAGGGCGACGUGGGUCGCAGCUAAAGAUUUUCUGGCGACUGUUUAUCAAAAACACAGGUCCCUGCUAACUCGCAAGAGGAUGUAUAGGGGCUGACGCCUGACCGAUGCGAGAAGGUUAACGGUGGGGGUGUUCUGACGCAAGUUGGAAUGCUCACUGCCCGAAGCCCUCGUCAAUGUCAGCGGUAACUAUAACCGUUCUAAGGUAGCGCAAUUCCUUUCCGGGUAAGUUCCGGAGCGCACGAAAGGCGUAACGACUGGAAAACUGUCUCAGCGAAGAGCUCGAUGAAAAUACAAUUGCCGUGAAGAUGCGGCAUACUGGCAGCAGGACGGAAAGACCCCGGGAGCUUUACUAUAGCUUGGCAUUGAUGCUUGUGCGUGGUUGCAAAGUGUAGCAGGGAGGCGUUGAAGGUCCGAUUCCGGUCGGGCUGGAGCCGUCAAUGGAACACCUGCCUUCUUCGUGCUUGUGUCUAACCCUGACGGAAAAAACGGCAGGGGACCGUGCCUGGUGGGUAGUUUAGGUGGGGCGCUUUCCUCCAAAAGAGUAACGGAGGAGUCUAUUAAGGUUGGCUUUCCGCCGAUGGAAAUGGCGGAUGAAGUGCAAAGGCAAAAGCCAGCUUGACUGUGAGGCGGACAUGCCGCGCAGGUGCGAAAGCAGAGCUUAGCGACCCGACGAUUCUUAGUAGAACGGUCGGAGAUAUCGGAUAAAAGUUACCCCGGGGAUAACAGGCUAGUCGCGCCUGAGCGUUCACAGCGACGGCGCGGUUCGGCACCUCGAUGUCGGCUCAUCACAUCCUGGGACUGGAGAAGGCCCCAAGGGUUUGGCUGUACGCCAAUUAAAGUGAUACGUGAGCUGGGUUCAAACCGUCGUGAGACAGGUUGGUCCCCUAUCCGCUGUCAGCGCGAGACGUUUGAGGGAAGUUGGCCACAGUACGAGAGGACCUGGCUGAACGAACCUCUGGUGUACCGGCUUUGCCACCAGGUGAAACGCCGGGUAGCUAUGUUCGGCGGGGAUAAGCGCUGAAAGCAUCUAAGCGCGAAGCCCCUCCCAAGAUGAGACGUCUUGUCCCGCUUCGGCGGGACGUGAGGUCCUAAGAGAUGAUUAGGUUGAUAGGCUCUAGGUGUAAGCUCCGUAAGGAGUUCAGCCGAGGAGUACUAAUACCUCAAAUCUCAUUUCUUU